GACGAACGCUGGCGGCGUGCUUAACACAUGCAAGUCGAACGGAAAGGCCCUGCUUUUGUGGGGUGCUCGAGUGGCGAACGGGUGAGUAACACGUGAGUAACCUGCCCUUGACUUUGGGAUAACUUCAGGAAACUGGGGCUAAUACCGGAUAGGAGCUCCUGCUGCAUGGUGGGGGUUGGAAAGUUUCGGCGGUUGGGGAUGGACUCGCGGCUUAUCAGCUUGUUGGUGGGGUAGUGGCUUACCAAGGCUUUGACGGGUAGCCGGCCUGAGAGGGUGACCGGCCACAUUGGGACUGAGAUACGGCCCAGACUCCUACGGGAGGCAGCAGUGGGGAAUAUUGCACAAUGGGCGGAAGCCUGAUGCAGCAACGCCGCGUGCGGGGUGACGGCCUUCGGGUUGUAAACCGCUUUCGCCUGUGACGAAGCGUGAGUGACGGUAAUGGGUAAAGAAGCACCGGCUAACUACGUGCCAGCAGCCGCGGUGAUACGUAGGGUGCGAGCGUUGUCCGGAUUUAUUGGGCGUAAAGGGCUCGUAGGUGGUUGAUCGCGUCGGAAGUGUAAUCUUGGGGCUUAACCCUGAGCGUGCUUUCGAUACGGGUUGACUUGAGGAAGGUAGGGGAGAAUGGAAUUCCUGGUGGAGCGGUGGAAUGCGCAGAUAUCAGGAGGAACACCAGUGGCGAAGGCGGUUCUCUGGGCCUUUCCUGACGCUGAGGAGCGAAAGCGUGGGGAGCGAACAGGCUUAGAUACCCUGGUAGUCCACGCUGUAAACGGUGGGUACUAGGUGUGGGGUCCAUUCCACGGGUUCCGUGCCGUAGCUAACGCUUUAAGUACCCCGCCUGGGGAGUACGGCCGCAAGGCUAAAACUCAAAGGAAUUGACGGGGCCCCGCACAAGCGGCGGAGCAUGCGGAUUAAUUCGAUGCAACGCGUAGAACCUUACCUGGGUUUGACAUGGAUCGGGAGUGCUCAGAGAUGGGUGUGCCUCUUUUGGGGUCGGUUCACAGGUGGUGCAUGCCUGUCGUCAGCUCGUGUCGUGAGAUGUUGGGUUAAGUCCCGCAACGAGCGCAACCCUUGUUCACUGUUGCCAGCACGUUAUGGUGGGGACUCAGUGGAGACCGCCGGGGUCAACUCGGAGGAAGGUGGGGAUGACGUCAAGUCCUCAUGCCCCUUAUGUCCAGGGCUUCACGCAUGCUACAAUGGCUGGUACAGAGAGUGGCGAGCCUGUGAGGGUGAGCGAAUCUCGGAAAGCCGGUCUCAGUUCGGAUUGGGGUCUGCAACUCGACCUCAUGAAGUCGGAGUCGCUAGUAAUCGCAGAUCAGCAACGCUGCGGUGAAUACGUUCCCGGGGCU
rnacentral:rRNA from 1 species